rnacentral:rRNA from 1 species
GACGAACGCUGGCGGCGUGCUUAACACAUGCAAGUCGAACGGAAAGGCCCUGCUUUUGUGGGGUGCUCGAGUGGCGAACGGGUGAGUAACACGUGAGUAACCUGCCCUUGACUUUGGGAUAACUUCAGGAAACUGGGGCUAAUACCGGAUAGGAGCUCCUGCUGCAUGGUGGGGGUUGGAAAGUUUCGGCGGUUGGGGAUGGACUCGCGGCUUAUCAGCUUGUUGGUGGGGUAGUGGCUUACCAAGGCUUUGACGGGUAGCCGGCCUGAGAGGGUGACCGGCCACAUUGGGACUGAGAUACGGCCCAGACUCCUACGGGAGGCAGCAGUGGGGAAUAUUGCACAAUGGGCGGAAGCCUGAUGCAGCGACGCCGCGUGCGGGAUGACGGCCUUCGGGUUGUAAACCGCUUUCGCCUGUGACGAAGCGUGAGUGACGGUAAUGGGUAAAGAAGCACUGGCUAACUACGUG